CGUGCAGGCGGUAUCGUAAGUUAUGCGUGAAAGCGCUCAGGCUCAACCGGGCGAGGACGUGUAAAACUGCGGUACUAGAGGUAGGUAGAGGCGUGUGGAAUUCCGGGUGUAGUGGUGAAAUGCGUAGAGAUCCGGAGGAACACCAGUGGCGAAGGCGCACGCUGGACCUGACCUGACGCUAAGACGCGAAAGCAUGGGUAGCGAACG
rnacentral:rRNA from 1 species